CUUACCAGUACUUGGAGUGAACAAGAAGUAUCUUUUUUGGAUUUAAGCAUUUUUAUUGAAGAUGGUAAAAUUAAAACUAAAAACUCUUUUUAAAGCUGUAGAUGCAAAUUAUUUUAUAGGGAGGGACACUUGCCAUUAUACCCCUUGGUUAGAAAAUGCCCCAAAGGGACAAUUUGUAAGAAUCAGGGACAAUUUUUAAGAAACUGUACUGAUAUGGAUAGCUAUG